rnacentral:rRNA from 1 species
UAUUGCACAAUGGGGGAAACCCUGAUGCAGCAACGCCGCGUGAGUGAAGAAGUAUUUCGGUAUGUAAAGCUCUAUCAGCAGGGAAGAAAAUGACGGUACCUGAGUAAGAAGCCCCGGCUAACUACGUGCCAGCAGCCGCGGUAAUACGUAGGGGGCAAGCGUUAUCCGGAUUUACUGGGUGUAAAGGGAGCGUAGACGGCGAUACAAGUCUGAAGUGAAAGCCCGGGGCUCAACCCCGGGACUGCUUUGGAAACUAUGUGACUGGAGUGCAGGAGAGGUGAGCGGAAUUCCUAGUGUAGCGGUGAAAUGCGUAGAUAUUAGGAGGAACACCAGUGGCGAAGGCGGCUUACUGGACUGUAACUGACGUUGAGGCUCGAAAGCGUGGGGAGCAAACAGG